UAAUUUUUAUUUCAUCAAAAUAUUAUUUUACGAGAGGCAAAUUCUUAAUAAUUCUAUCUACCCCACUCACUAUUCCAUCUAUCCCAUAUUUAUUUCUCCCCUCAUUUUUCUUGACUUAGGCCCCACAUGUUUCCCUUUUUCUUGACUUUCUCUCCUUAUUUUUUUUUUCACCCGUCCAACUCUCUCUCUUUUCAAACUACUUCCUUUUAUUUUUUUCAACUCUCUCUCUUCUUUUUAAACUCACUUUUUUUUUUCUUGUCAAUUCUCUCUCCUGAUUUUCAACUCUUCUUUCCUAUUUAAUCUAACCUUACAUCAAACACCAAACUUUUUGUUUGUAUCAAAAGCAGUCGUACAGCCCAUUUCUUUUUCCAAUUGUACACGAGAUUCCAAACCCUCUUUCUCAGCCUUUUACGGAAGUUGUCUCUCCAUUUUGAUGUAAAUAUUUUGAAUCCUCCCUCUUUCCUAUUUAAUUCUCUCACCCCUCAGUCAAAACAUCAAAAAAAUCCUGCCUCUUCACGUGAAGAGUACUAUUCUUUCAAAAAACUUUUGACUUGAGAGAAUACGUUGUCUCUUUCUUAGCCUCUCUCCAUUUUUCUCCACACGUGUCAUCACCUCCAUCUGCUAUGGCAGAGCUUUGUCCUUUCAACUUUGGAUAAUUGUUCCUCAAUUCAAACGGCUCUUUUGACCGUUUGAAUUUUGAAUUCCCUUUUGGAACGCCCUAGUUUGCAUCUAUAAAUACCCAGUUAUUGCAGUCAUUGAGGGGGUUGUUUUUGAGCGGGUGUACAUCCUCUUUUUGGAGAAGCUUGAACUGUGGAAAACUCUCUCAUUUUUAAGCUAUUUUUUUACUGUUUUCCAAAGAAAACUUUAACAUUUUGUUAUCUCUCAAUCUCUGUCCAUUUCUAUUUUGUCAAAAGAGAAUAGAUUUGAGACCUCAAAGCUCUAGUUCACUGUACCCACAAGAGGUUAGAUCUAGACCUUACUCAAUUUACUUUCAGUUAUUUGUAUGUUUUAUGUGUAAAAAAUAAUAACCAUGUCUUACUUUUGCUUCAAGCAGACUAAUAGCCUGUUUGGCCAAGCUUAUUUUCCCCCCAAAAGUACUUAUUUUCUCAAUAAGUGCUUAUUUUAAAAAAAGUGAGGUGUUUGGCCAAGCUUUUGGGAGAAAAUAAGUACUUUUGGGGAGUAGCAAAAGCAGUUUUUCAGAAGCUAAAAAAAUAGUUUUUUGCCCAAAAGUACUUUUUUGAAUACACAUAGAAGCACUUUUUAAAAGUUUGGUCAAAUACUAAUUGCUGCUCAAAAGUACUUUUUAAAUUAAUUGGCCAAACACAAACUGCUUUUAUCCAAAAAUACUUUUCUGAAAAGUACUUUUGAAAAAAAAUAUUUUUUAAAAUAAGUUGUUUUUAGAAGCUUGGCCAAACAGGCUAUAAAUCUGUUAGUAGGAACAACAUUAAGUAUUAGUAUGUAAGAAAUCAUCUGGUUAUUAUUCAUGCAAAUAGAGAUUAUGUUUAGGAAUAAUGAUCCUUUAAAAAUAUUCAUAAGUGUUGCUCAUGUUUUGCUUGCUUUAUGUGAUUUCAGGAUUUUGUUCCCAUAAUUAGGUAUCAUGAUUUAAUCCUCGGAAUAUGCAUAAUUUGUUUUCUUCGACAGUUGAUUAUGUAAAAUAUGUUGAUAAAGUAGAAACCAUUCGUUAUUUUUUUUAUUUUAUUUUUUUUACUCUGAAAACUUAAGUAGUGUUUAGUUAAAAAACUGAACUUGAGUAUCAUGCUAUGAACUGAAUAGUUAUUAUUACUUAGAAACAUGUCUAUGCUUUAAUUCAGCUAAAUAUUUAAUCAUGUAUUUCUUUGCUCUUCUAAAUAGUAUCCUUUCUAAUUCCAAUUUUUCGCUACCUCUUCGUUGCAUGUACACGGGUGGAGUACCUCAAGUUUCGAUAUGAGACUCGACAUCCUUGGAGUCUGCUGCAUAUUCUCAUUACAACCCUUUUACUGUUCCGCACAAGAUCUCUUUAUUUUUUCUUGCACCGUAUAAAUAGUGGAAGAAAUAGCAGAGUCUUUAUUUUGGCUGUCGGGUGAAGCUUUAGCUAUUUUCAUUAAUAUUUAACCACUGUUUAUCCUUUUUUUUUUGCUUUAUGAGUUUUAUACCGCUUUCAGUUUUAUCUCACUUAGGACAAAACAAGAGCUUAUAUCAAUGUCCAUGUUUUAAUUAGAUUUUAAGUAAUUUUAGGCAGGACCUUAGCAUUAAAAAAAAUUAAUAAUGAUUUUUUUCUUUGAUGGGGUGAUUCUUUUCCACCAACUUUGAGUCAAAAAAUAUUUUUUUUAAACACGUCUUAUCUUUCUUCUGGUUAAAAUAUUCAAAGUCUAACCUUCUUCCUGGAAAUGGCGUUUUCUUUAACUUUUGCUUAUGUUUACUUCAAGUAGCCACAUUUGAGAAUCAAGUCUAAUUUAAAAGCCGAAUUUUUCAAAUGACACCUAUUUUCAACAUCAAAAUUUUUAGUGACUUUCUUAGCCUUUUUAAUUAACAUUAAGUCCGGCCGGUUAACCAUUGUUAAUGGAUCUUAAAGGAUGCUUAAUACCUUCCCUUUAGAUUAAUUGAACUCUUACCUAGAAUCUUUUGGUUUCGUAGAUUUUAAAAUAGAGUUAACUUUAGACAAUUACUUUAAUAAACUUUAGGUGUCCUACUUCACCAUAAUAAUUAGGUGGCGACUCCUUAACUUUAAUUAACCCCGGAAUUACCGGAAUGUUGUAAACCAUUUUUACUCCGGUUAAAAUGGGGUACAACAGCUUGGCGACUCCGCUGGGGAACUAUACUUAGGUUCUAACCAUAAUGGACUUAGUUUAAAUAGUCUUUGUGUGCUUGUUUUAAUUAUUUUAUUUGUUGUUAACUGUUUUUACAUGCUAUUAAUGGUUUGUUUGAUAUAAACUAUUUAAGUGUUACUGUUUUGAUAUAAACUAUCAUCCCGUAUGUUACACCUCGGAAAAUUUUCCGUUGGUACGCAGGAGAAUGAACUAGUGAUGAAUAUGAGUGCAUGAUGUCCAUGAGCAAGAAACGACGUUUGAUGACCUUAGGCGAGAUUUCGAAAGUAUCCGAUGUGAGACGAGGGAGUUGGCUAAGUUAAGAUGAGAUACAAGGUAUAGACGCUAGCAUUGGAAGGAAACGUGCAAGUGUAGAAUAGUCCGACGAAAAGGUGCACAGGGAGACAGACUUGAUCCAUAGCUGCCUAUUCGGAGAUUACAUAGAGAGCUUCAUUUCCUUCGGAGCCAUAUCUUUUGGGAACUCAUUCUUUUGUGUAUAUAAUUAUGGGCAUAGCGGGGUCCUGUCCCGCUAAUGUGAUAUGUUAUACUCUUAGAGGCUCGUAGACAUGUGUGUGUGUGGGUAGAUGUGUUUGGCCUUGUCGGCCUAUGUUUUGUAUAUCAUUUUGUCGGCCACGUGGGCCCAUGUACAUUGACGUGGCAUAGAUGCCUAUGAUGAUAUAAAUGGGUUGUUGUCCAAAUGGGACUAGUUGACAAAUGAAUGGAAAUGCAUGUAUAAUUAUGUGUCUCACCUAGAUGUAAGUAUAAGAGUAAGCUAAGAGGGUGCUCGGGUAGGUUAGCAUCGGGUGCUCGUCGCGGCCCCGAGUCGGGUCGUGACACCGUAUCACUCUUCUCCACAUCUGGAAAUUCACACUAUCACACGUACACGCGAGGUGUGUUUUGCGCACCCGCAAAUUUCUUUCAAAAUCCCAAAUUUUAGGAGAGUUGGCAUAUGCGCGGGGUCUCCAGAUUUUCCGUGUGACCGCAUAGCCUUCUCACUCAAGUUGUCCGCUCGGGAACCUUGCGUCUAGUGAACCUGCUCUUAGUCAACCUAGAGUAGAGCUAAACCAACACCCUUUAUUAGGAUCAUACAUUUCAUGACCUAGGAGGUUUAAUACCCUUGGUGUAUUAAGCCCAUUAGAUGACUUUACCCAAACGUCCAAUGGGUCCGCGACCCCAAGUGAUACUAAUCAUACUUUAUGUGCAUGUUUGAAGGAUAAUUGCGCCUAAAUAUUGACCAUUUGCUCUAACUAAUUAAAAUUUAGGAGGGAGAAAAUGACUAACCUUUCUAUGACAGGUAUGAAUUUUACAUUGGAGUACGUCUAUGAUCAACAAGUGGCGAGAACCAAGGACAUCACAAAAUGGAGCCAGAAAUUUAGACAUGACAAAAUUGUAUUUACUUUACUUAGAUGAGGAAGUGUUUUAUGUUGUAUUCAUUUGGUAUGUAAUAAAUAUUACACCAUAAUUGUACUUUAUUUCUUGGAAAAUAGAAUUUGUUUAAUUAGCCGAGAGCAAUAGGAUGACGU